AGCGAACGCUAGCGGCGGGCUUAACACAUGCAAGUCGAGCGCAUCUCCUUCGGGAGGUGAGCGGCGAACGGGUGAGUAACACGUAGGUAACGUACCCUCUGGUGGGGAAUAACCCAGGGAAACUUGGGCUAAUACCGCAUGUGCCCUUCGGGGUGAAAGACUUCGGUUGCCAGAAGAUCGGCCUGCGGCCCAUUAUUUAAUCCUAGUUGGUAGGGUAACGGCCUACCAAGGGUACGAUGGGUAGCUGGUCUGAGAGGAUGAUCAGCCACACUGGGACUGAGACACGGCCCAGACUCCUACGGGAGGCAGCAGUGGGGAAUAUUGGACAAUGGGCGAAAGCCUGAUCCAGCCACGCCGCGUGAGUGAUGAAGGCCUUCGGGUUGUAAAGCUCUGUCGGGAGGGACGAAGUACUGACGGUACCUCCCAAGAAAGCGCCGGCUAACUCCGUGCCAGCAGCCGCGGUAAUGUAGUCGUG
rnacentral:rRNA from 1 species